UCCAUGAGAUUGCUUAUCUUGGUUGAUCGAAUAAAAUCAAAAUUCUGCAAGUAUGAUAAACAUCAUUUUUCUUAAUUAGAAAGCACGGCAUAGAAAUUUCCAAGGAAACCAGGUUAAUCAAACCAAAAUUACGCUGUUAACUUUACACCUUUUUGUGACAAGGCUAGAUGCGUCCUUGAGCCAUUCUGCUCCAAGCCUGAAAUAAGCACACCAUGGUGGAUGAAUGACUGAGCAUUCCAAUGCCUCCGCCACUACCCAUGCCCAUCCCUCCGUCUCCUCUCCCAAACCUUGUGAACCCAUUUCUACCUUUCCCAUACCCUCCUCAUCCACCACCCCAGGUCCAUCCCAUGGGCUUCAAGCUCUUGCUGUAACUCAGUAUCUUCCCUGCAGC
rnacentral:lncRNA from 1 species